rnacentral:lncRNA from 1 species
GUAGAUGAAAAGUGUCAAAGAAGAGGAAGUGUUUUAUAUGAGAAUAAAAAUGUGUACACUUCAAAAUCACCUUCACAUCUUAAGAAGGCCAAAAACUUCAACAUAUUGCUUCACCUAAUUUUUUCAGGACAUCUUGGUCAUUCUUAUACCUGAAAAGGGAAAUAAGAAAUUAUGUACCCUAGUGCUUAUAUAUUUAAACAGUGUAAAAGCUUAGAAGUAUCUACUAUCACAGCUUGAUAAAUCAAGCAACUCUAAAGUCAAUUUGAAUAGACAUUUCCAGUGAAACAAACUUUGGGUCCAUUUUAUUAGAAACUUGGUUCAUUUUGAAUGGACUACUCGUCAAGAUGAUAAAAAAUUCAAUAGCUUUAUCGAUAGACAACAUAGCUUUAUCGAUAGAACAACAUUACACUGAAAUUUAGAUAUUACCAAAAUCAGUCAUCGAACAUUAUCAGUACACAAAAUAUCAUACUAUAGAUCUUUUUUCAAGGAAAAUCUGUUAUAGGGACUCAAAAUUUAAUGAGUGAGAAAAAGAAAAUAGAGUGUACCUGAAAGGCUUUAAAAUAGCACAUAAAUUUAAUCUUGAAUAAUAUUUAUAUCUUCUGUAAAAGAUAACACGAAACUCAAGUGAAGCUACACAAUCGAAGCCUCAUUGAAAAAAGCUAAAAAUUCUAAUUUGCUUAUUCCUUUUCCAUUACAAAAGCUGAUCAAGCAUAGAUUUAUGUACAUUAUCUCAACAUAAUAUAUUUCACAUAAAAAGAAAUAAUUCAACCAUGGAAGCAAUAUAUUGAUGAUACUACGAUCUUAUCUCCAAGACAAUCUUUGUAUGUAAAGAAAGUACCACAACCAAACAGAAUUAUAUUUUGGUUUCAUAGAUUAAAACUCAAACUUACAAUAAGGUGUCGGCCACAAAUACCCUUGAAAUAAAAAAAAUCACAUACUAUAUCGAGCACUCAAAUAAAUGUGUUUCCAGUAUUGUUAAGAGUUUUAAGACAAUCUAAUUCUACUUUACCUUAAUCAAUCUUCAAUUGAGAAUAGUUGGCUAGAAAAAGUAAAAUUCAUGACAUAUAAAACAUGCCUCAGAGCUACAUAAACUAUUAAGAGUGAGAACUCAUCCAAAAUAAGUAACUAUGAAUCUUUCUUGUAAAGGAGAAAAGAAGUUAAUCAUAUUUUUUAGAAUAACCAACACAUACUAUAAUUAUUUUUUUUGCUUUCUCAUCCAGUGUCCGAUAUUUACAUUCACAUUGGGAGGAAGUCCCACAUUGGGAGGUAAAGGUCUCCCUAACAAAGACAAGAAAACUUGAACCUGAGAUCUCUAGAUUAAGGAUGAAGGAGUACUUAGUCCUCCAUCACAACCCUUGUUGGUAACACGUACUUUUUUAUUAUUAUUAAUAUCCAAUAAGUAUCUAAAAAAAUAUUUCCAUUGUUAAUAGUCACCAGGCUCAAGUAAAAAUUUACAACUGAUAUCAGAUUUGCUUGUCCAUUUAUGAAGUGUUUCAAAAUAUAGCAGAAAAAUUCAUUUGUGGAGUAUCAAAAAAGAGUCAUUUCAGUUGUAUUCUCAAUAUGAAAGUAUGGUUGAGUUAUAAGUUUAUUCACCCUUUUCAUCUUUAUUAUAGUAUUUAUUGAAGCAAAUGUACAUCAGAUUUGUAUCGCAAGUGGAGAAAGAUAAAAGUUAAAUCAAAUAAUAUUCUAAAGAAAAAUCAUUGAAAAGACAUCAGAUAAAUCAAUUAAAUAUGAACUUUUUCAGUAGUUUCUUUGUACAUUAUUCCAUUAUUUUUGUGGAUCCAAUUAAAGUUUGUUGACAAUGAAAGUACUUAUUUGACAUUUAAAAGAUAGAUGAAUGAAAAAUAACAACACAUGAGAGAAUGAUAACUUAUUUAAAAAAACGACCUGAUAUUACCAUUCAAAUUCACUUCACGAUCUAUGCAAUCAUCAAUUGAUCGAACAUUAAUAUAUUGCUUGAGAUAUGUUGAAGCAAUUGACAAAAUAAAUAAAUAAAUAUUUAACAAUAAAAUGUAAAUCAAAACACCUUCUAUAAACACAAAUAACAAAUGGAGAGAAUUUCAACAUUAUUAGACUAACUUGGUGAAGUGCUAUUUUUCCUUCUCUUCUUAUUAGUCCCAAGUUUAUGUUCUAUAUAUUUUGUCAUGUAAAUAGUCUAGCAACAAAAGUCCCAAAUACAAUCUUAUUAUUUAUUUGCAUUACGACAAUUCCCAAUUCAAUUACUGUAAACCUUGUUUACAAUUUUUUGCAAUGAUUAAAAUUUACUUUUGAAAUAACACAAUGGGACUUAAUUAAGUUAUCAAAUGUUUUCAACUAUAAUUCCAAACAAAUGCUUACAUGUUCAAUAAAGAAAUACACGUACAGAAAUACUUAGAAAUGAAGCUUACCACUAAUGGAAUAUCCUUAAUUCUAAGGCAAAUACCCAAAGAACCUAUUACAUGUUAUUUCUCAAGAAGAUAGAAUUUCAUAAAAUUACUAUCGGAUCGAGUUUUAUCAGCUUCAGCUUCAUUUUUCUGUAAGUUAAGCCAUCAAAAUUAGAACAAUUUGUCUUAGAAAAAAGGGUGAUCAAAAUUAUUGACAUAAUCCAUUACUAACCUUAGAGAAUUUUAUUCAUGUAGCAUGUCUAUAUUCUCGUUAAUACCUCUGACGCGACUAUAUGCAAUUGAUACAAAGUAGUAAAUGAGUACCAAAUCAGUUUUGAAAAGAGCCAAAAGGCCAGCAAUGAUGGAGGAUCAAAUAUAAAACGAUAACACCCAUUUCAAAAUUUAGAACUUCUGAAAAAGAAAUUGGCGAGACAAAAAAAAAGAAUUAAAGUCCAGAACAAACAGAAGAAAAUAAAACAAAUUAUCUUUUGAGGGAGAAAGAAUUGAAUUUAGUUUCAAA